CAGAGCUUGCUCUGGUUCCAUGAGAGUGGCGCACGGGUGCGUAACGCGUGAGCAACCUACCUCUAUCAGGGGGAUAGCCUCUCGAAAGAGAGAUUAACACCGCAUAAUAUAAUGUACCGGCAUCGGGAUAUUAUUAAAUAUUUAUAGGAUAGAGAUGGGCUCGCGUGACAUUAGCUAGUUGGUAGGGUAACGGCUUACCAAGGCGACGAUGUCUAGGGGCUCUGAGAGGAGAAUCCCCCACACUGGUACUGAGACACGGACCAGACUCCUACGGGAGGCAGCAGUAAGGAAUAUUGGUCAAUGGGCGGAAGCCUGAACCAGCCAUGCCGCGUGCAGGAUGACUGCCCUAUGGGUUGUAAACUGCUUUUGUCCAGGAAUAAACCUAGAUACGUGUAUCUAGCUGAAUGUACUGGAAGAAUAAGGAUCGGCUAACUCCGUGCCAGCAGCCGCGGUAAUACGGAGGAUCCGAGCGUUAUCCGGAUUUAUUGGGUUUAAAGGGUGCGUAGGCGGCCUAUUAAGUCAGGGGUGAAAUACGGUGGCUCAACCAUCGCAGUGCCUUUGAUACUGAUGGGCUUGAAUCCAUUUGAAGUGGGCGGAAUAAGACAAGUAGCGGUGAAAUGCAUAGAUAUGUCUUAGAACUCCGAUUGCGAAGGCAGCUCACUAAGCUGGUAUUGACGCUGAUGCACGAAAGCGUGGGGAUCGAACAGGAUUAGAUACCCUGGUAGUCCACGCCCUAAACGAUGAUAACUCGAUGUUGGCGAUAGACAGCCAGCGUCUUAGCGAAAGCGUUAAGUUAUCCACCUGGGGAGUACGCCCGCAAGGGUGAAACUCAAAGGAAUUGACGGGGGCCCGCACAAGCGGAGGAGCAUGUGGUUUAAUUCGAUGAUACGCGAGGAACCUUACCCGGGCUUGAAAGUUAGUGAAGAGACCAGAGACGGUCUCGUCCUUCGGGACACGAAACUAGGUGCUGCAUGGCUGUCGUCAGCUCGUGCCGUGAGGUGUUGGGUUAAGUCCCGCAACGAGCGCAACCCCUAUGUUUAGUUGCCAGCAUGUAAUGGUGGGGACUCUAAACAGACUGCCUGUGCAAACAGUGAGGAAGGUGGGGACGACGUCAAGUCAUCAUGGCCCUUACGUCCGGGGCUACACACGUGCUACAAUGGAUGGUACAGCGGGCAGCUACAUAGC
rnacentral:rRNA from 1 species